rnacentral:rRNA from 1 species
UACAGAGGUCUCAAGCGUUGUUCGGAUCCAUUGGGCGUAAAGGGUGCGUAGGUGGCAUGGUAAGUCGGAUGUGAAAUCCCGGCGCUCAACCCCGGAACUGCAUUCGAUACUGCUGCGCUAGAGUACUGGAGAGGAGAUUGGAAUUUACGGUGUAGCAGUGAAAUGCGUAGAUAUCGUAAGGAAGACCAGUGGCGAAGGCGGAUCUCUGGACAGUUACUGACACUGAGGCACGAAGGCCAGGGGAGCAAACGGG